rnacentral:rRNA from 1 species
GAUGAACGCUGGCGGCGUGCCUAAUACAUGCAAGUCGAGCGAACGGACGAGAAGCUUGCUUUUCUGAUGUUAGCGGCGGACGGGUGAGUAACACGUGGAUCACCUACCUAUAAGACUGGGAUAACUUCGGGAAACCGGAGCUAAUACCGGAUAAUAUUUUGAACCGCAUGGUUCAAUAGUGAAAGACGGUCUUGCUGUCACUUAUAGAUGGAUCCGCGCUGCAUUAGCUAGUUGGUAAGGUAACGGCUUACCAAGGCAACGAUGCAUAGCCGACCUCCGAGAGUGAUCGGCCACACUGGAACUGGGACACGGUCCAGACUCCUACGGGAGGGCGCAGUAGGGUAUCGGCCGCAAUGGGCGGAAGCCUGACGGAGCAACGCCGCGCGAGUGAUGAAGGUCUUCGGAUCGUAAAACUCUGUUAUGAGUGGAGAACAUAUGUGUAAGUUACUGUGCACAUCUUGACGGUACCUAAUCAGAAAGCCACGGCUAACUACGUG